rnacentral:rRNA from 1 species
CGGAGGGGCGUAGCGUUGUUCGGAAUUACUGGGCGUAAAGCGCACGUAGGCGGACUGGAAAGUUGGGGUGGAAAUCCCGGGGCGUCAACCUCGGAACUGCCUUCAAAACUAUCGGUCUGGAGUUUCGAGAGAGGUGAGUGGAAUUCCGAGUGUAGAGGUGAAAUUCGUAGAUAUUCGGAGGAACACCAGUGGCGAAGGCGGCUCACUGGCUCGAUACUGACGCUGAGGUGCGAAAGCGUGGGGGAGCAAACAGGAUU